rnacentral:lncRNA from 1 species
GUCCGCUUUGUUUAAAAUAACAAGAUUUUUAACAGACUGUUAUAAUUUGAUCGUAUAACAACAACAACAGCAAUUUGUAUUUGUCAUUCAAGACGUCCCGAGAAGCAGUACAAUUACAGUUUCAAUCGAAGUGUACAAAUAAUUUUAAUGAUUUUUGGAAAGAUUAGAACUUGUUCUAAAUCUUUACUUAGACAUUGCCCCCC